rnacentral:rRNA from 1 species
UACAGAGGUUUCAAGCGUUGUUCGGAUUCAUUGGGCGUAAAGGGUGCGUAGGUGGCGCCGUAAGUCGGGUGUGAAAUUUCGGAGCUUAACUCCGAAACUGCAUUCGAUACUGCGGUGCUUGAGGACUGGAGAGGAGACUGGAAUUCAUGGUGUAGCAGUGAAAUGCGUAGAGAUCAUGAGGAAGACCAGUGGCGAAGGCGGGUCUCUGGACAGUUCCUGACACUGAGGCACGAAGGCCAGGGGAGCAAACGGG